GACGAACGCUGGCGGCGUGCCUAAUACAUGCAAGUUGAGCGCUGAAGGUUGGUACUUGUACCAACUGGAUGAGCAGCGAACGGGUGAGUAACGCGUGGGGAAUCUGCCUUUGAGCGGGGGACAACAUUUGGAAACGAAUGCUAAUACCGCAUAAAAACUUUAAACACAAGUUUUAAGUUUGAAAGAUGCAAUUGCAUCACUCAAAGAUGAUCCCGCGUUGUAUUAGCUAGUUGGUGAGGUAAAGGCUCACCAAGGCGAUGAUACAUAGCCGACCUGAGAGGGUGAUCGGCCACAUUGGGACUGAGACACGGCCCAAACUCCUACGGGAGGCAGCAGUAGGGAAUCUUCGGCAAUGGACGAAAGUCUGACCGAGCAACGCCGCGUGAGUGAAGAAGGUUUUCGGAUCGUAAAACUCUGUUGGUAGAGAAGAACGUCGGUGAGAGUGGAAAGCUCAUCAAGUGACGGUAACUACCCAGAAAGGGACGGCUAACUACGUG
rnacentral:rRNA from 1 species